GGCGCUGCCAAGAGUGGGCAGGUCCCGGAGCGCAGCGCGGUGCUAGCCUGACAGCAGUAGACGCGGGCGGCCUGGUGCCGGCCGACGGGGUGUCCGGUGGACUUUACACGCGCGGUCGGCCAAGCUUCGCGUUCCAGGAAGCGAGAUGUCGAAGCCGCCUCCCAAACCGGUCAAACCAGGGCAAGUUAAAGUCUUCAGAGCUCUUUAUACCUUUGAACCCAGAACUCCAGAUGAACUGUACUUCGAGGAGGGUGAUGUUAUCUACAUUACUGACAUGAGCGAUAGCAAUUGGUGGAAAGGAACCUCCAAAGGCAGGACGGGACUAAUCCCAAGCAACUACGUGGCCGAGCAGGCAGAAUCUAUUGACAAUCCGUUGCACGAAGCUGCCAAAAGAGGCAACCUGAGCUGGCUGAGGGAGUGUCUGGACAAUCGUGUGGGUGUGAACGGCCUGGACAAAGCCGGAAGCACUGCCUUGUACUGGGCGUGUCAUGGGGGUCACAAAGAUAUAGUGGAAGUGCUGUUUACUCAGCCAAAUAUUGAACUGAACCAACAGAACAAGUUGGGGGACACAGCUCUGCAUGCUGCUGCCUGGAAGGGCUACGCAGAUAUUGUCCAGUUGCUUUUGGAAAAAGGUGCUAGAACGGACUUGCUGAACAACGAAAAGAAGCUGGCCUUGGACAUGGCCACCAAUGCUGCCUGCGCAUCGCUUCUGAAAAAGAAGCAGGGAACAGGGGCACCCUGAAUCCGAUGACCAGUGGAGGCAGAGGAGAGGAUGAUGCACGGAGAUGUGAGAUGGAGGCAGAUUGGGACGAUGGAAGGUGGAUAGUUCAAAACCACCAGAAGCAGAAGAGAAGGAGGUGUGGAAGAAUGCAAAAGGGCUGUCUGCACACUGGGGAGCGAAACAAUCCAGUUGCAAAGGUGGAGAACGUGGAGCUCACUGCAGAGUCCGGUUGGGAACCCGUCUAUUUUGGAAGCCACAGAGUCUGCGCUGGAAACCAGGAGAUAAAGUCCAAGGUGCAGACUUGAGCUCCUCCGAACAAAGCCUUCCUUCUUCAUUCCCCUUUAAUCCAUUCAGGCUACAAAUUUAUUGGUUGGUGCCACCCACACCCAGGCUGGGUCUUCUGUCUUCAGUAAAUCCCUUCUGUCACACCCUGAGCAACACAAAUCCAAUCAGUUGGGUGUUUCUUAUACAAGUUGAGACAACAGUUAACUACAAAACAGGUCCAUGCUUUUCAACUGGAAUAAACCGUGAUUCUCUGAAAAAGACUUAAGAUUUUGAUUCUUGACUUGCAGUAGGACCUAAAAAUCAUAUUUUAAAAACUCCCCAGAUGAUCCCAAUUUAUAGCUGAAAAAGAACUACUACUUUAGAUUUUCCAUUUCUUUAAAAUCUCUCCAAAUUAGCCUAUGAUAUACAAAAGGACAUUUCCUUGAGACCAUAAGACCAUUGUGGUGAGCCUCUCUGGUGUAUGUGGCACAAAGGGAGGCUCAUUAUUGCUGAAGACUAUGAGGCUCGCCAUCACUGCAAUACAGCAAUGGCACUGAAUCACUCAUAACAAGUUCUUACCAAUUUGUAAGAAAUUAGGAAGAAGCUCAGCGGCAUAAGCGCCUGCCUUGCAAGCAGGCAGUCGUGAGUUCGAUCCCCGGUACCGAUAAAAAGGAAAAAGACAAAAAAAAAAAAAAAAAAAAAAAGAAA